CUCAUCUUCAAUCGUUGCUGCUUCCUUGUCUGAUCUGCUCAGCUAUUGGAAGAUAAAGGAGAAUGAACUUGGGGAUAGUCAAGACCGACAAUAAAAGGACUCAAAAAUUUGUUUAAAGCCUAAUUGUAUUAACUUCCUCAAACAAACGUGCUAUCAUGGAUGGCUGAGGUGGUUAUAGUACCAUACAUAGUUAAGGAAGUGUUGGGAUCAAAUAUUUAUACACAGGCUUCCUGUUCCCAUCGAGGCCACUAGACAUCAUGACCCUCAGGUAAAUUCAUGUAAAUAUAAGUAGGAAUAUUAAUUACUUCAUUUUAGCAGCCUUUAAAACAAUGUAAAA